GGCUCUGUGGUUUAACCCACAGCGCCACCCGUGUUACCACAGUGCUAUUGUAUAUUUUUUUGGUAUGUUUUCAUCAUGUUUUAUUGCAUUGUAUAUAUUGCAAAUCACAAUGAGACUUUUAGUAUAAAGCAAUAUACUAUAAGGGACGCAGGUGGCGCUGUGGGUUAAUCCACAGAGCC